AGAGUUUGAUUCUGGCUCAGAACGAACGCUGGCAGCGUGGAUUAGGCAUGCAAGUCGAACGGGAAGCUUCGGAUUCAAUUCUUCGGGAGAGAAACUGGAGUGGAUAGUGGCGAAAGGGUGAGUAUCGCGUGGGUAACCUACCUUUAAGUUGGGGAUAACUCUUCGAAAGAGGGGCUAAUACCGGAUGUGGUUUUCUGAUGCAUAUCAGGAGGACUAAAGAUGGGGACCCUGAAUACGUAAGUAUUUGGGGCCUGUCGCUUAAAGAUGGGCCCGCGUACCAUCAGCUUGUUGGUGAGGUAAUGGCUCACCAAGGCUUACGGUUAGCUGGUCUGAGAGGAUGGUCAGCCACACUGGGACUGAGACACUGCCCAGACUCCUACGGGAGGCUGCAGUCGAGGAUCAUUUGCAAUGCGCGAAAGCGUGACAAUGCGACGCUGCGUGGAGGAUGAAGGCCUUCGGGUUGUAAACUCCUGUCAUUCGGGAAAAACGGCAUUGGGGGUAAUACCCUCAGUGUGUGAUGGUACCGGAAGAGGAAGCCACGGCUAACUCUGUGCCAGCAGCCGCGGUAAUACAGAUGUGGCGAGCGUUGUUCGGAUUUACUGGGCGUAAAGGGUGCGUAGGUGGUAUCGUAUGUCGGGUGUGAAAGCCCACGGCUCAACCGUGGGACUGCAUCCGAAACUGCGGAACUAGAGUACAGGAGGGGAGAGCGGAAUUCUUGGUGUAGCGGUGAAAUGUGUUGAUAUCAAGAAGAACACCGGUGGCGAAGGCGGCUCUCUGGAAUGUAACUGACACUGAUGCACGAAAGCUGGGGGAGCAAACAGGAUUAGAUACCCUGGUAGUCCCAGCUGUAAACGGUGUGCACUUGGUGUGGGGGGAAUUGACCCCCCCCGUGCCGGAGCUAACGCGUUAAGUGCACCGCCUGGGGAGUACGGCCGCAAGGCUAAAACUCAAAGAAAUUGACGGGGGCCCGCACAAGCGGAGGAGCAUGUGGCUUAAUUCGAUGCAACGCGAAGAACCUUACCAGGGCUUGACAUGUAACUGCACGUCCUGUGAAAACAGGAUUCCUUUGAGGGUGUUACACAGGUGCUGCAUGGCUGUCGUCAGUUCGUGCCGUGAGGUGUUGGGUUAAGUCCCGCAACGAACGCAACCCUUGUGUCUAGUUGCCACCGCAGGUGAUGAGCCUGCGAGCACUCUAGACAGACUGCCCGUACAAGCGGGAGGAAGGUGGGGACGACGUCAAGUCAGUAUGGCCCUUACGCCCUGGGCUGCACACGUGCUACAAUGGCCGGUACAGAGGGAUGCAAGACCGUGAGGUGGAGCAAAUCCCCAAAGCCGGCCUCAGUUCGGAUUGGAGUCUGAAACUCGACUCCAUGAAGUCGGAUUCGCUAGUAACGGCGCAUCAGCUACGGCGCCGUGAAUACGUUCCCGGGCCUUGUACACACCGCCCGUCACAUCAUGAAAGCCGUCUGCACCCGAAGUCGCUGAACCAAUCCAUUUCGGUGGAAGGUAGGUGCCGAAGGUGUGGGUGGUGAUUGGGAUGAAGUCGGAACAAGGUA
rnacentral:rRNA from 1 species